rnacentral:lncRNA from 1 species
GUACACUAUCUUAUAAAAUUUGUUAGAAGAAAAUUUCUUACAAGUUACAAGUAAUACAUUCUAUAGAACAAAAAGGCCUAGAAACAAUAAAAUUUGUACAAAUUUAAGCAAAAAAAAAAAACAAUUUGUAUCCAACAAAACCGUAGCAAACUAUUUAACGUACAAUAUGUUAUAGUGUAACUUGUACUAAUCACAUUUCAAGACUCAAGAGUAUAUAUUUCCAAAACGAAUUACAUUAGCAUUUUCUUAGGAAAAAAAGGGCUGAGAUUUGAUGUGAAAAUAAGAGAUAUACAAGCACUAAUUCAUCAAUCAUUGGACCUUUGAUGCGACUAUUUUGAAUAAAUAAUAAAAC